ACGUGAUGGUCGUUGACGACUUGGAGUAGUUAGGAGGCUCCCAGGCAGGAGGCCUUGCCUUUUCGAUCGUUGAUGCUUUUGUGCUAGCCUUCUUAAGGCAAACUUGCUUAACUUAUGUCUGUACUCAG